CAUCAACCACCUGAGCCACUGCCUGUUCACCCCGUUAUCAUCCAGAAGGGUAAACAGUCUGCCAUCAUGCAGUGGAUGUUAUUCCUAGUGCUGUUCUCAGUGACAGACGUAACAGAACCAGUAAACGGAACUAUGACGACUGCCUCUACACCUGUUAUGACAACAAGAG